rnacentral:lncRNA from 10 species
GUAAACAAGGACAAUUUCACUUCUUCCUUUCUAAUUUAGCUGUCCCUUAUUUCUACUUUUGCAUAAUUGCUCUAGCAAGUGCGUCACUUAACAUCUCUGGGCCUUGGUUCACCUGUCUGUAAAAUAAGGUUAAUGUUAAUGACACCUAGUAAAUUAAGGAGUAGCUGUGAUUUUGCUUAGCAAAGGUUAAGCACUCAGCAAAUACAGAAGAGACAUUUUGAGGCUUAAUGGCAUGCUGGCACUGUGCAAGGUACUGAGGUAAGAAAACCUCCCUUUCUCAGAAUCACCUCUGCCUCUCAUUCCAGGAAGGAAGUGAUGAUACCGAAGGUCCUCAGCUAAAACUAAACAUAUUUCUGUACAAGA